AUGCACCAAAUUAAAGUGUCCAAACCUGAAGAUUGACUACUGAUAAGAUGAAGGCUUUUCCUUAUGUUCUGAUCAUUGUCCUUAUUUUCUCCGUUGGAAUCGACAAUGAAAGGUUGUUGAAAGUAUCAGAGGCAAAAGAGUGUCAACAAACACUGAGUGAAGGAGGCUGUAUAGAAAACACAUGCAACAGCGACUGCAGGAGAGUACAUGGAGGGCGAGCAUCUGGUCAUUGCAACGCAAUAGAAGAUUGUAUUUGUUUUUUCCCAUGUUAGUCUUAUUUUUACAACAUUGUCCCUUUUCAAUAAAUAUUUAAAUAAUGGGACUAUGAAAAACUUAUAAUAUAGAGUGCACUCAGUGCAGGAAUGGAUCUACACGUAGAGGUGUGGGCCCAUUACAAAACUUAUAAUAUGUGUGUGUGCAAAUUUGUAUAAUGCUUUUAUUAU